GAUGAACGCUGGCGGCGUGCCUAAUACAUGCAAGUCGAGCGAACGGACGAGAAGCUUGCUUCUCUGAUGUUAGCGGCGGACGGGUGAGUAACACGUGGAUAACCUACCUAUAAGACUGGGAUAACUUCGGGAAACCGGAGCUAAUACCGGAUGAUAUUUUGAACCGCAUGGUUCAAAAGUGAAAGACGGUCUUGCUGUCACUUAUAGAUGGAUCCGCGCUGCAUUAGCUAGUUGGUAAGGUAACGGCUUACCAAGGCAACGAUGCAUAGCCGACCUGAGAGGGGGAUGGGCCCCCCGGGAACGGAGACACGGGCCGGACCCCCAGGGGGGGCAGAAGGAGGAAAUUUCCCGAAAGGGGCGAAACCCUGACGGGGCAACCCCGGGGGGGUGUGAAAGGUCUUCGGUUCGAAAACCUCUUUUUUUAGGGAAGAAAAAAUGUGUAAGAAACGGUGCACAUCUUGAGGGUACCGAAACAGAAAGCCCGGGCAAACUACGG
rnacentral:rRNA from 1 species